AGCGAACGCUGGCGGCAGGCCUAACACAUGCAAGUCGAACGAACCCUUCGGGGUUAGUGGCGGACGGGUGAGUAACACGUGGGAACGUACCUUUAGGUUCGGAACAACACAGGGAAACUUGUGCUAAUGCCGAAUGUGCCCUUCGGGGGAAAGAUUUAUCGCCUUUAGAGCGGCCCGCGUCUGAUUAGCUUGUUGGUGAGGUAAGGGCUCACCAAGGCUACGAUCAGUAGCUGGUCUGAGAGGAUGAUCAGCCACACUGGGACUGAGACACGGCCCAGACUCCUACGGGAGGCAGCAGUGGGGAAUCUUGCGCAAUGGGCGAAAGCCUGACGCAGCCAUGCCGCGUGAAUGAUGAAGGUCUUAGGAUUGUAAAUUCUAUCACCGGGGAAGAUAAUGACGGUACCCGGAGAAGAAGCCCCGGCUAACUUCGUGCCAGCAGCCGCGGUAAU
rnacentral:rRNA from 1 species